UACGGGGGGAGCAAGCGUUGUCCGGAAUUACGGGGCGUAAAGGGCGCGUAGGCGGCAAUUCAAGUCAGCUGUGAAAUCUCCGGGCUUAACUCGGAACGGUCAAGUGAUACUGUCGCGCUAGAGUGCGGAAGGGGCAAUCAGAAUUCUUGGUGUAGCGGUGAAAUGCGUAGAUAUUAAGAGGAAUACCUGAGGUGAAGACGGGUUGCUAGGCCGACACUGACGCUGAAGCGCGAAAGCCAGGGGAGCAAACGGG
rnacentral:rRNA from 1 species